AGUGAACGCUGGCGGCAGGCCUAACACAUGCAAGUCGAGCGGCAGCGGGUUCCCGCGAGGGGAUGCCGGCGAGCGGCGGACGGGUGAGGAACACAUCGGAAUCUGCCUGGUUGUGGGGGAGUAACGUAGGGAAACGUUACGCUAAUAACCGCAUGAGACCCUCGAGUCGACGGACGUGGGGGUGGAAAGUAGAGGGACCGUUC
rnacentral:rRNA from 1 species